GCUGAAGGGAAGUGGCGUGAACAUGGCUCAGUGCAACCUCCACCUCCCGGACUCAAGUGAUCUUCCCAUCUCAGCCUCCUAAGUAGCUGGGACCAUAGGUGUGUGCCACCAUGCCCGGCUAAUUUUUAAAUUUUUUGUAGAGAUGGUGUCCCACUAUGUGGAGUCUUCUUCAUAUUGAUCAAAGUGGCAGUUAAACAAGAAUAUAAUUACAUAAAAGUGUACCAAAAUGUAUAUUUAAGAUUGGUGCACAUUGCUGUAUAUAUUAUACUUUGAUAAAGAGUAUUACAGAAAAUUUUAAUUUUCUUCUUUUUGCUGUUUUCUAAAUGGUCACACCUUUUUCUCGGCUAUAUUUCCAAAAGUCUAAACUGAAACAUAAAUUAUAAUGAGAAGAAAAACAAUAAAGGUUAUUAUUUUUAAAACACUAGAGCUGAAUCUCAGCUACCUAUCUAGAUCUCUUGGCCUGAGCCCUGGACCCAGCUAAAAAUAGUUCAGAGCCUUGCCAGCUGGGAGCUGGGCUAUGUUUAGCAGAAACUGGCACACGAGUGAAAUGGGGUGGAGCCAAGUAGACACUUUGGAUCCGGUAGGCAUAGCUCUCCCACAGGAGACUGUUUAGGCCAUGCCUGGCAUCAGUAACUCAGGCUGUUUCCCACACUACAGGCCAGCACUGUGGGCUCUCAGUUUAUUGGGAAAUGGAAAUAAGAGGGAAGGACAAAAGUCCACUGGGAAGCAGACUGGACAGAAAGGAACUCUGAGCAGCUAAACUCUGACUAAUCCCAGGGUAUACCUGCGUUUUCUCUUCACCAGAUUUUUCCUACCAGGAAGAGCAUGUGCUGACCAACAGACAUGAAUUUCAGCCUGGUAGUUACAACAUUCACAGACAGGAGUUUCACUCGUUGCCCAGGCUGGAGUGCAACGGCGCGAUCUCAGCUCACUGCAACCUCCGCCUCCCCAGUUCAAGCGAUUCUCCUGCCUCAGCCUCCUGAGUCACUGGAAUUACGGGCGCCUGACACCACGCCCAGCUAAUUUUUUGUAUUUUUAGUAGACAUGGGGUUUCACUAUGUUGGCCAGGCUGGUCUCGAACUCCUGACCUCAUGAUCCUCCUGCCUCAGCCUCCCAAAGCACUGGGAUUACAGGUGUGAGCCACUGUGCCUGGUCCAUUAAAAACAUUUGUAAAGCUAUGGUGUUGAUAAAGUAUUAUGAAAGACUGCAAAAAAAGAUGGCUAAUUUUUAGUUAUUAUUGCACAUGUUUAGAGGAGCUAAUGACAUUUUCUAUGAUUAAUAAAAGACAUUAUUUAUGUUUUUAUUUAUGUAUUCCACAACAUUUAUUUUAUUUUCUCCAUUUCAGGAAAACCACUAUGUUGUUACAAUAAAGAUUUUCAUGUAAUUUGUGUUCAAUUGAUAGUAAUAAUGUAACAAGUUAAAAAUGAAGGUAAUUGUGUUUAAAAUUUGAGCAUAUUUUCAUCAAAAUGUAAGUUAAAGUGAUUGUAAAUUUUAAGAUCAUAAUUACUUUGUAUAUCUUCAAGAAAAUUAUUGUUUUAAAAUAUUUAUGCCUAUUAAAAUUAGAAGGCAAAAUAAAAAUAUAUGAAUACCAACAUUUUAAAUAAAAAUCAUUUAAAUAA
rnacentral:lncRNA from 10 species